UUGGAAUUGUGUGAAGCAGAUUACUGCAAUUGACAGUUAGUUUUGGAAAAUUUCAGUGAUUGGAUAGGAAAUGUUUUCUAUAAUCUUUUAAGAUAGUGUAAUAUUACCUAUUGUUGUCAUAAGUUAGGAAAGAAGAAGAGAUAGUGAAUGCAUAAUAUAGAUUAUGGAUUGCAAUAUUUUAUUUGAUAGAAUGUCAGAGGCAUUAUAGCUUUCUUAGGUGUUUUAGUUGAUCAGGAAACAAUUAAUUAUGUGAUCCUAAUGUGAAAAUUCAUGCAGGUAGUCUUUUCUCGUGUUUGAAUCCCCCUAUACAUGUUUAUUCCAAUUAGAUUAGUCUAGAGUAAGUAAAACAACAAUCACUCACCAUAUCCACAUUAUUCUUUUAAUUUUGAAGUUAGAUACAUACACCUCAAAGAAUUUAAAAGUUAUUCUUUAAUAUGUCAAUAUAAUUUUUAAUUUUUUCUUGUGAAUAGUAUUGGAUAUUGUAUUUUUAAGACUUAAAGAAUA
rnacentral:lncRNA from 1 species